rnacentral:lncRNA from 1 species
AUAAGACACUGUUUGGAAGAACAUUGUUCCAAAAAUACACUGUGCUGCUUCCUUCACGGUUGUUGAGAAUCUGCAUACUCAGGUAUAUGUGUGUAAACGGGAGGUGGAGAGUGGAGAAGAGGGGAGUGAGGCAGAGUAGCUAGUGACAGGAUUCUGCUUACUCUCGGGGAAACAUUUAGGGAGCAGAGCAGGAUGGCUGCCAACCUAGAGAGUUGUGGGCCUCCCUGGAACUGACUUAGGGAGCAAAACCUGAUCAAAGGGAAUGGCCUCUUUAAAUCGUUUUGAAGAUACUCUUCAUUUGGUUAAGCAAGUUCAGUAUGUUUUAUGAGUUAGAGCUCAGAGAGGAUUUUCUG